CUCGCCGCCAGACGGGCGUAACAGCCCGCUCGGGACGAGACGACAUGUGGCCGGAGACCGGCCGAAUCGCAAG
rnacentral:ncRNA from 1 species